UCACACAAUCAGGCCAUACAUCUCAAACAGGAAUUGGGAGAUGGUCCACUCAUUUAAGUCUAGGUUUAUCCCCCUAUAGUCUAUGUCCACGGCGUUAAC